GUUGCAGGUUAGGUCAGUUGCGUGAAAGCAGGUUUGCAGGUUAGGAGGAUACAAUGUUUAAAUUCGCCGUCUACUACUUGUUUGAUAAAACACUUAAAGUGGAAAGUACGUCGGUCAUUCUUGGUAGCGACCAGUUCACCCAAGUGGCAUCCCAGCCGGACUUAGAUGACGAUGCGAACUGGAUUGAAAUAAAAUGGCCCACGAGAAAAGAACCAAACAGGACGGUGCCUGCUAAGGUGCUGUUAUUUGGAGAUUCCUACAAAGAACUUGUGUCGAAGAAGAAUUUAUUCCUUCUCGGUAAGGAUAUCUGGGCCAAGGAAGAAAGAAGGGGUGUGCGCAUGAAAAAGAAGAUGUGUGAGACCGACGUAGUGAAGCCUAAAACGUCCCAACAGGCAGAGCAAACCAGGAUUAAAGAGGCAGCCAGGGACCAGGUGUUACAAAACCUGAAGACUUGCCUGUCUCAGAAAAGGGCCCUGGACACACAAGAUCACCUCUACAGUUCUGAGAACGAAUCUCCACAACGUGUUCAUGGGGGAAAGCGAGCAAAGAUUAACAAGGCAGCAAGACGUGUGCUUUUACCCCUGGCAUCCAGUCCAACUUCUGAUGACGCUACAUCCAUAGGAAGUCCACAACGGCAUGACAUUUUUCAAGACCAUGCCUCAGAUGAAGAGUUGGGUUUCUCCCAAGCCCAGAGAAUGCUGACGGAUGAUAAUACUGGUCAUGGUAUGGCACCUGGAAUGAAUGAAAUCAUGUCAUGCCUUCAUGGUGGCUGUUCAGAUUGGAAUUAGAGGGGUUGACAUGUCAGAACACAACCUGCCAGAAAUGAUUAAAUUAAUGAGGGAGUGUGUGGAGUGUGUCCGGGCAUUGAUGUCUUCUAGAGAGACCCCUUCAUUUGCAGCGUCAUCAUCUUCUGUGGACAGUGAAAUUGAAAUGCACCCCUUGGCAGGCAGCACAGUGAUUGUUUCAAAGAGGGCUUUCCUGCGGCUGAAUAGAUCUCGCAUGACCAUUUUUGCCCAGGAGCUGGCUGUCCUGGUAUUCACAAAGGAGGGCCUUGCACAGUCCACCCUAACUGGAAAGUCUCGGAAGGGGGGGCCGCCAAAAACACAGCUUGAUGUUGACAAAGUGCAGGCUAUUACAGAUGCUGUUCUUCUGGAAUUCCGACAGACCACUGUCUCUGAUGUGCGCGCGGCCAUCAGACGAAAAUGCAACAAUGAGCAGUUCAGCCAAAGAAACACACACCACGGAUAAUAUGUGGUGUGUGUUUCUGUAUGGUGGGAGGGGUUAGGCAGGAAUGUUAAGGAAUUAAGAAAUGUUGUCUUUCAUUGUUAUUUCUGUUGUGUUCUGUUAAGUUUAUGUGAAAUGUUUAUUCUGCUGAAAUGUUUAGUUCUGGUCUGCUGCCAUAAUGUAAGUGUUCAUACAUUGGUUGUAAGUUUUUUGUAUGUACUAUAUGGUACAAAUACAUAAAAAUAUAUUUUUUCACCUGGAAGUAGUCUCACAAGUCUUUCAGCCUUGAGUACCCUGGUAAUACAUUUGCAAGUAUGUGCAAGGUAAAAAGUAACAUGGC
ensembl:lncRNA